AAUAGAUACCCCGGUAGUCCACGCCCUAAACGAUGCUCACUAGGUGUUGGGGAAGCGAUUCCUUGGUACCGUAGCUAACGCGUGAAGUGAGCCGCCUGGGGAGUACGGCCGCAAGGUUAAAACUCAAAGGAAUUGACGGGGACCCGCACAAGCGGUGGAUGAUGUGGAUUAAUUCGAUGCAGCGCGAACAACCUUACCUACCCUUGACAUGUCCGGAAGCCUGCUGAAAGGCGGGGGUGCUCGAAAGAGAACCGGAACACAGGUGCUGCAUGGCUGUCGUCAGCUCGUGUCGUGAGAUGUUGGGUUAAGUCCCGCAACGAGCGCAACCCUUGUCCCUAGUUGCUACGCAAGGGCACUCUAGGGAGACUGCCGGUGACAAACCGGAGGAAGGUGGGGAUGACGUCAAGUCCUCAUGGCCCUUAUGGGUAGGGCUUCACACGUCAUACAAUGGACGGUACAGAGGGUUGCCAACCCGCGAGGGGGAGCCAAUCCCAGAAAGCCGUUCGUAGUCCGGAUCGCAGUCUGCAACUCGACUGCGUGAAGUCGG
rnacentral:rRNA from 1 species